rnacentral:rRNA from 1 species
GACGAACGCUGGCGGCGUGCUUAACACAUGCAAGUCGAACGGAAAGGCCCUGCUUUUGUGGGGUGCUCGAGUGGCGAACGGGUGAGUAACACGUGAGUAACCUGCCCUUGACUUUGGGAUAACUUCAGGAAACUGGGGCUCAUACCGGAUAGGAGCUCCUGCUGCAUGGUGGGGGUUGGAAAGUUUCGGCGUUUGUGGAUGGACUCGAGGCUUAUCCGCUUCUUGGUGGGGUAGUGACUUACCAAGGCUUUGACGGGUAGGCGGCCUGAGAGGUUGACCGGCGACAUGGGGACUGAGAGACGGCCCAGACUGCGACGGGAGGCAGCAGUGGGAAAUAUUGCAGAAUGGGCGGAAGUCUGAUGCAGCAACGCCGCGUGCGGGAUGACGGCCUACGGGUUGUAAACCGCUUUCGCCUGUGACGAAGAGUGAGUGACGGUAAUGAGUAAAGAAGCACCGGCUAACUACGUG